rnacentral:rRNA from 1 species
UACGUAGGGGGCUAGCGUUGUCCGGAAUCAUUGGGCGUAAAGCGCGCGUAGGCGGUCAGGUAAGUCCGGUGUGAAAGUCAAAGGCUCAACCUUUGAAUGCCGCUGGAUACUGCCUGACUUGAGUCCGGAAGGGGCGAGUGGAAUUCCUGGUGUAGCGGUGAAAUGCGCAGAUAUCAGGAGGAACACCAAUGGCGAAGGCAGCUCGCUGGAACGGUACUGACGCUGAGGCGCGAAAGCUAGGGGAGCAAACAGG